UACGUAGGGGGCAAGCGUUGUCCGGAAUCAUUGGGCGUAAAGCGCGUGUAGGCGGGUCGGUAAGUCCGCUCUGAAAGCCCGGGGCUCAACCCCGGGAGGCGGGUGGAUACUGUCGACCUCGAGUCCGGAAGAGGCGAGUGGAAUUCCUGGUGUAGCGGUGAAAUGCGCAGAUAUCAGGAGGAACACCAAUGGCGAAGGCAGCUCGCUGGGAAGGUACUGACGCUGAGACGCGAAAGCGUGGGGAGCAAACAGG
rnacentral:rRNA from 1 species